AUGGCAACCACAGCCUGCAUGACGGGAGGAGGGCCCCACAGGCCGACCUGAUGGCAGACUGAGAAGGAAUGUGAGAAGAAAUUAUGAAAGCACUUUCCAACUCAUAUCCUUGAAGAAUAAGCCAUUCCUACUUCCUCUCCCACAUCAUGCUGGUGCUAAGCCAUGUUUAGACCAUGUGCGCAGUCAAUAUCCUAGAGGUGACGGAGCAACAGAAAAGUUUCCGAUACUCUCAUGGAAAACAGCCACUCUACCAGCCCUGAACCACAUAAUUCUGGAGGUUACAUUUGAAGGAAAUGAACUUGUAUUUUGUUUAAGCCAGUGGUAUAUUGGCUGCUUUCACGCUGCUAAAUCUAAUAAACAUGUUUAUCCAUCUA